rnacentral:RNase_P_RNA from 1 species
CGAGCCGAGUGGACGGUCGCGUCGUGGCAGGAAUGCCGCGCCGAGGAACGUCCGGACUCCAUAGGGCAGGGUGGUGGCUAACGGCCACCCGGGGUGACCCGCGGGACAGUGCCACAGAAAACAAACCGCCGGGGACCUCGGUCCUCGGUAAGGGUGAAACGGUGGUGUAAGAGACCACCAGUGCCCAGGGUGACCUGGGCAGCUAGGUAAACCCCACCCGGAGCAAGGUCAAAAGGGAGCGCCUCGGCGCGACUGCGGGAACGUUCGAGGGCUGCCCGCCCGAGUCCCCGGGUAGACCGCACGAGGCCGGUGGCAACACCGGCCCUAGAUGGAUGGCCGUCUCCCCGGCCGCCGCGAGGCGACCGGGCGACAGAAUCCGGCGUACAGCUCGACUCGUCUG